rnacentral:rRNA from 1 species
UACGUAGGGUGCAAGCGUUGUCCGGAAUUAUUGGGCGUAAAGGGCUCGUAGGCGGUCUGUCGCGUCAGGAGUGAAAACUCGGGGCUUAACCCCGAGCCUGCUUCUGAUACGGGCGGACUAGAGGUAUGCAGGGGAGAACGGAAUUCCUGGUGUAGCGGUGAAAUGCGCAGAUAUCAGGAGGAACACCGGUGGCGAAGGCGGUUCUCUGGGCAUUACCUGACGCUGAGGAGCGAAAGUGUGGGGAGCGAACAGG